rnacentral:tRNA from 1 species
GGAAGUAUGGCUCAGUGGUAGAGCACUUGCCUAGAAAUCGUGAGGCUCUGAGUUUAAGCCCUAGUACUUCCC